CGGCGAACUCCGGUCAGCUGACACAUCUCUGCCAAUCUCCAGCAGACCCUCCCUCCCAGACCCUCCUACUUCCUGGACAGCAUCCAUGUUGAAGGCAGGGUCUGCCGGAGAUUGGCAGGGAUGUGUCAGCUGACCGG